rnacentral:rRNA from 1 species
CCUACGGGUGGCUGCAGUGGGGAAUAUUGCUCAAUGGGCGAAACCCUGAAGCAGCAACGCCGCGUGAAGGAUGAAGGCUUUCGGGUUGUAAACUUCUUUUGUCAGGGAAGAUUAUGACGGUAUCUAACGAAUAAUCACCGGCUACCACCGACCCAGCAGCCGCCGUAAUACGGCGGGUGCGAACGUUACUCGGAGUCACUGGGCGUAAAGGGGGUCUAGGCGGGGUAGUAAGUCAGAUGUGAAAUCCUGGAGCUUAACUAACGAACUGCAUGUGAAACUGUUCUUCUGGAGUGUGAGAGAGGUAGGUGGAAUUCUUGGUGUAGGGGUGAAAUGCGUAGAGAUCAAGAGGAAUA